rnacentral:tRNA from 2 species
GGAGUGGUAGUUCAGCUGGUUAGAACGCCUGCCUGUCACGCAGGAGGUCGCGGGUUCGAGUCCCGUCCAUUCCGCCA